rnacentral:rRNA from 1 species
GACGAACGCUGGCGGCGUGCCUAACACAUGCAAGUCGAACGGAGUGUUUAUUUAUAAACACUUAGUGGCGAACGGGUGAGUAACGCGUAGACAACCUACCCUCUAGAUGGGGACAACACCGCGAAAGUGGUGCUAAUACCGAAUGUUGUAAUGUUGUUGCAUAAUGAUAUUACUAAAGGUGGCCUCUAUAUAUAAGCUACCGCUAGAAGAUGGGUCUGCGUCUGAUUAGCUAGUUGGUGAGAUAACAGCUCACCAAGGCAAUGAUCAGUAGCCGGUCUGAGAGGAUGAACGGCCACAUUGGGACUGAGACACGGCCCAGACUCCUACGGGAGGCAGCAGUGGGGAAUCUUCCGCAAUGGACGAAAGUCUGACGGAGCAACGCCGCGUGAGUGAAGAAGGUUUUCGGAUCGUAAAGCUCUGUCUUCAAGGACGAAUGUAGAUAUUGUGAAUAAUGAUAUUUAAUGACGGUACUUGAGGAGGAAGCCACGGCUAACUACGUGCCAGCAGCCGCAGUAACAC